CCAAUGUUCAUCUUACAUAUGUUGACUGAUGUCUCAUGUCUCUCCAAAAUGUAUAAAACCAAACUGUGCUCUGACCACCUUGGGCACAUGUCGACAAGACCUCCUGAGGCUGUGUCACAGGGCACAUCCUCAACCUUGGCAAAAUAAACUUUCUAAAUUAACUGAUAUCUGUCUCAGAUUUUGGGGGUUCACAUUUUAGUAACCAUGAAGGGAUUCUGAAUGGAGGUGCCCCAACUUUUGGCAAAUCUCCUAUUGGUGCUUGGUACCAGCUUGAGCUACCUUUAGGGACAAUAGAACAAUUUGCAGAGACCUGGAAGCACCUCCACCAGAGAAUCCUUGAUCUCCCGAAAUUUGGUCAAGAUCUAAAGUUUAUUUUGCUCUGCAACCUUUUUUUUGCAGGGGAGGGCGGGGAGUUUUACUUUCUUCCAACACAAGGCAGGCAAGUUUUUUUCCUGCUUCCAUGACAAUGGAAGGCAGGUAACUCCUUUAUGGAGUUUAAGCUUGCUUCCAAACAGGCAAGAUGAGUUUUUUGCCUGCUUCUAGGAUGGUAGAAAGCAAUCUUCAGCCUGAGACCCAUCCCUUGGCAUCAAACUUGACUUAUGGAGCCAAUAAAAGUCCCUUGGAAAAACUGGCCUCAUACCUUUGUCUACACAGUCCCUGUACUGAGUUCCUGUCCUGUGACCUAUGACCUGGAAGCCCCCUCCUGCUUUGAGUUGUCCCGCCUUUCCACACCAAGCCAAUGUUCAUCUGCAUAUGUUAACUGAUAUCUCAUGUCUCCCUAAAAUGUAUGAAACCAAAAUGUGCUCUGACCACCUUGGGUACAUGUUAUCAGGACUUCCUGAGGCUGUGUCUUGGGCGCAUGUCCUCAACUUUGGCAAAAUAAACUUUGAAAAUUAACU
rnacentral:lncRNA from 1 species